UUCCUGGUGGUUUAGUGGUUAAGACUCUGUACUUCCACUAUAGUGGACCCAGGUUCAAACCCUGGUCGAGAAA
rnacentral:tRNA from 1 species